rnacentral:rRNA from 1 species
GAUGAACGCUGGCGGCGUGCCUAAUACAUGCAAGUCGAGCGAACAGACGAGGAGCUUGCUCCUCUGACGUUAGCGGCGGACGGGUGAGUAACACGUGGAUAACCUACCUAUAAGACUGGGAUAACUUCGGGAAACCGGAGCUAAUACCGGAUAAUAUAUUGAACCGCAUGGUUCAAUAGUGAAAGUCGGUUUUGCUGUCACUUAUAGAUGGAUCCGCGCCGCAUUAGCUAGUUGGUAAGGUAACGGCUUACCAAGGCAACGAUGCGUAGCCGACCUGAGAGGGUGAUCGGCCACACUGGAACUGAGACACGGUCCAGACUCCUACGGGAGGCAGCAGUAGGGAAUCUUCCGCAAUGGGCGAAAGCUUGACGGAGCAACGCCGCGUGAGUGAUGAAGGUCUUCGGAUCGUAAAACUCUGUUAUUAGGGAAGAACAAAUGUGUAAGUAACUAUGCACGUCUUGACGGUACCUAAUCAGAAAGCCACGGCUAACUACGUG